GUCAGUGAGCUUGGGGAGCUGGGCCUGGUUGAGUUCAGAGAUUUAAAUCCCAACGUGAACGCCUUUCAGAGGAAGUUUGUCAGCGAGGUCAGACGAUGUGAGGAACUCGAGAAGACUUUUACCUUCCUGGAGAACGAGAUCAUUCGCUCCCGGUCGCCGCCUUUCAGGGGUCCA